rnacentral:rRNA from 1 species
GACGAACGCUGGCGGCGUGCUUAACACAUGCAAGUCGAACGGAAAGGCCCUGCUUUUGUGGGGGGCUCGAGUGGCGAACGGGUGAGUAACACGUGAGUAACCUGCCCUUGACUUUGGGAUAACUUCAGGAAACUGGGGCUAAUACCGGAUAGGAGCUCCUGCUGCAUGGUGGGGGUUGGAAAGUUUCGGCGGUUGGGGAUGGACUCGGGGCUUAUCAGCUUGUUGGUGGGGUAGUGGCUUACCAAGGCUUUGACGGGUAGCCGGCCUGGGAGGGUGACCGGCCACAUUGGGACUGGGAUACGGCCCAGACUCCUACGGGAGGAAGCAGUGGGGAAUAUGGCACAAUGGGCGGAAGCCUGAUGCAGCAACGCCGCGUGCGGGAUGACGGCCUUCGGGUUGUAAACCGCUUUAGCCUGUGACGAAGCGUGAGUGACGGUAAUGGGUAAAGAAGCACCGGCUAACUACGUG